rnacentral:lncRNA from 1 species
AUGGCUGGACACCUUCUGUUUGUCAUCCUCAUGUCUUUCGUUCAUGAGAUUCAAGCACAAGCUUUUCUUCCACCAACACUGACAGUGAACACAACAGUGAUCUCAGAGAGAGACUUGGUCACAUUUCACUGUCAGGCACCAACAUCUGUUUCAGUUCAUCAGUGUUUUUUCUACACUGUGGAGAAAAAUACUUCCAAAGCCUUCUCAUGCCUGCAGAAUUUCACUGCAACAGAACUGUUGUUAAUGUCACAUCAGAGUUCACCUGCUGAAGUUAAAGUGAAAUGUUUUUACACUGGAGAACUAAAUUCAACGUCUGCGCACAGUGAACCAUCCUCCAUCACCAUAAAAAGUCAGAAACCACAGAUGAGAGUUCAGCAUUUUAAUGGAGAACAAGUUCAGUUUGUUUGCUCUCUGCCUGGAUCUGUGAAAGAUGAUACAAGAUGUAAUCUGUACUUUGGAGAAGCAAGUCGUUCAGUCCUGACAGCAACUGUCUGGAAGAAAAGCAGCACAGAAACCAAACAGAGGUUCUGCCAGUUUUAUGUCUCAAUUGAUGAUUUUUUGAGACAUCUACAUUUUGUUCAACAAAAAGAAGCCAGCUGUGAUUACACUUUGAAAAGGGAACCCAGGUCUUUGUCUCCUCGCAGUGAUCAAUACAACUUAACAGGUAAGUCAAAGAUAAACAGACUUUAUAGUACAGAUGCUACUUUAAUUAAUUAA